UGGACACUCUGGUGCUAGUAUCAGUCAUUUUGAUCACAAGACGUGGACCAGCCCACCUUGGAGCUCACUGUGGUGGUGGCCUGGUCCUAAUGCAAGUCCUAAUGGAGCUCUUGGAACUGGCUGUAGCCUUUGCUGAGCAGGAGCAACUAUGUCUCUGGUUCUUAAGGAUUGAAAAGGUUUCUUGGAAAAGCUUUCAUUUUCU
rnacentral:lncRNA from 1 species